ACACAGGACAAGCGCGAUUUCGUCCGUUCCGUCGUUCUCAGGUGAAGCCAAUCCAAUUUAUUUUCUCUUAAACCUUCGUAUUCUUGACAGUCAAUCUUCAGUGUCGUAUCAACUGUAUCUAGCUCGAUCUCUUUUUUUGUUGUCGUAUGUUUAAACCUGGGACAUUGAACGUCGGUCUCAAGUCUGAGAGGCUUCGACAAACAUCGCAAUACGUGGCGUAACGCGUCUUUAGUGUCUAUGAGCGACACUCGUACUUGAUUUUUAUUUUUAUUUUCAACUUUAUUAGGCAAAUGCCAGAGGACUAGAUCUCAAAACGUCGACAUGACGACCAUAUGAUAGCCAUGAAGCUAUUGGCAGGGCCUGUUAGCCAAUUUUAGGCCUGCUACAUUGGCAGUUCGAAAAAAAAAAACGUUAAUCUUAUUAACUUGGUCGCAAUCUAAAUACCUUGGUCAUGUAUUUUUAUAUUUGGUUAUCGUUUUUGAUAGCAGAAAACUGUUUAGGGACAUGUUGUUUCCAUCGUCGAUAUAGCAGUUGGCUAAAGAAGGGAUCCGUGACGUGACUGUUUGCGAAGAACCAUUGGUCUAUUUGAAAAGAGGGCGUGGCUUAGAUUGUUAAAUUUGGCAAGGGAGCGGCCAUAUCUAGGGCUACACUUAGCAACUCCCAGUAUGCAAUUUAUAUUUAUCAGUGCAGAAGACUUAAAUGAGUGAACAGAACUUUCACGGUGUAUUCUCUAACGAAUGAAAGGAUUAACAGAGUCCGGCUGAUACGCUGACUACUUUAGAGUCCGGCUGAUACGCUGACUACUUUAGAGUCCGGCUGAUACGCUGACUACUUUAGAGUCCGGCUGAUACGCUGACUACUUUAGAUCAGUGAGCCACGCUUAGUGUUCUGGAUAAGUUAUGAAUAGCGAAGCAGGAAAGCCAAGAGCCAAGCUAAGCAAAACGUUUCUGAACUAAGGUGAAGAAAAGUCAGGCUGACAAAGAAUAGAAAAUACUUCUAUCUACGUGAUUCUUGAUAUCACUUAAAAAACAAACAGGCUAGAGAAUCUAAUCACAGAGGGAUGAGGUUUGCAUAAAGUUCUCUAAACCUCUUAAACAAAAAAAAAGUAAGCGACAACCUCUUAAAAAAAAAAAAAAAAAAAAAAAAAAAGGAAAACUGACGACUUGUGAAAAAAAAGGAUAACUGACGACUUGUGAAAAAAAGGAAAACUGAUCACUUCCAAAAAAAAAAAACUGAUCACUUCUUAAAAAAAAAAAAAAAAAAACUGAUCACUUCUUUAAAAAAAAAAAAAGGAAAGCUGAUCACUUCUUUAAAAAAAAAAAGAUCAUUUCUUUAAAAAAAAAAAAGGAAAGCUGAUCACUUUAAAAAAAAAAGGAAAGCUGAUCACUUCUUAAAAAAAAAAAAGGAAAACUGAUCACUUUAAAAAAAAAAAAAAAAAAAGACCAAUUUCUAUUUAUUUGCAAAGUCGCAGUCCAAUGAUUAUUAAAAUAAGAAGUCAGUGUAAAUCAGGCUUGCAGCAAGCUUUAAAAUGGCAUUAAUGUAAAGAGCAGAACAAAUGCAGACUUUUGUUAAGCCUUAAUAUAAGCGACAGUCAGAUAAUCUAUCAAACCAAUGGCAAUUGCUGAAUGUAAAGAUGGUACAAAGUGAGCUUAUUCAAGAAAAAGGCAGAAAAGUUAAGCAGAGUAGCUGUGAAUAUGACAAACGUUCUCAGGAGCACUCUCUAAACCAUUUUAUGGUCUUGACAAGAACACCAGUAGGUGGCGAGAGGGAUCUGCCGUCAUAGAUUUUUUUUUUUUUUCAAUCUAAAUCUGCCCUUUCAUGGGCAAUUAUCAAGGCGUACCUAGUACGAUUCAUAGAUUAUACAGCUUAAAUGUCAGUCAGGCAAGUUGUAUUAGAUGUGUCAUUUAUUUAAAAAAAAAAAAAAAGGACAUUGUGUCCAAGAUGAAAAUUUAGGCUGUGUUGUCAAACCAAAGAAACUAUCAAGACAAUCAGUUCAAGGUCUUUGACCUCAGGCUUAUUAAACGUGUGCUACUUUGUUGGCAUAUAGCUUAGAUCCCAAUGAAUUUAAUUUUUUUCUAUUAAGUUGUACUU